GCCAUACUAGGCAUACUAGGUUUAAGCUGGUCUUUGUAGCAUAACGCGACUUUGAACUGGGGGUCUCUACCGUUGGAAUGAGCCCAUAAGGAUACGUUUCUGCAGCGGAAUCUAGUGACCAACUGGACCAGUCAUGUCCAGUUUCACCAAUCAGUGAUCCCCAUCCUGUUCCUGUGGUAGCAUACCAGUUGUAGGCCUCAACCCAACUCUGCCCCUUAGAACCAGCAUUAUUGAUGGUCUUCGCCCUCAUGCCUGACUCUCCAGCACUUGUUCCCAGACUGCUAACCUGGUAUCGACCCGACUUGCCUCCAACCUUCGCCUCACGUCUCAGCCCCGGUGAAUCCACCAGCCUUCUGUCCCCGACUACGAGUAUUGCCUGCCUGUUUUCUGUUCCUCGUCUGCCUGUGGCUGGUUGGCACUCAGCCUGUUCCUGCUCCACCAAGAGACCCACCUUGUCAGCUUCGCCUCGCCAGCUCACCUCCUGGUGACGUCAGCCCCACCGACUCCGUCUCAAGGUCUGGAUCCACAUCCCGCCAUACUCACCUGAAUCCAGUUCUCUGCUGCCAUCCUUGGGUUAGCUCUGUACCUGUUUUGAUCUGCCAAAUAAAGACUGU